UCCUUCAUAGCUCAUCAGUAGAGAAUCUGCCUGCAAUGCAGGAGACCCGGGUUUGAUCCCUGGCUUGGGAA
rnacentral:tRNA from 1 species